rnacentral:ncRNA from 2 species
GGGAACGCGGUGCAAAUCCGCGACGGUCCCGCCACUGUGAGCGACCCCGCACUCGGUCAUCGAGGGGCGGGGCCGUGAGUCAGAUCGCC